CGUUGAUUGACUUUGGAGGUUCCCUUGAAUUGAUGGCAUUUUUCAAAUUCACACACACCCAGCCCUUGAAUUCAAGCAAGGAUUAUAUUUUGGAUUUGGGCCUGAGCAAGAACAGAAAAAGGAAAAGUUAUUUUGAUUUCAUUCAAAGAGUGGAGAAGAAGAAGAAUGCUGCCAAGUGAUCAGAGUUGGAGAAGUCUCCCUCCCUUCUGCCUCCGCCA